GACGAACGCUGGCGGCGUGCCUAAUACAUGCAAGUCGAACGCACAGUUUAUACCGUAGCUUGCUACACCAUAAACUGUGAGUUGCGAACGGGUGAGUAACGCGUAGGUAACCUGCCUGGUAGCGGGGGAUAACUAUUGGAAACGAUAGCUAAUACCGCAUAAUAUUGAUUAUUGCAUGAUAAUUAAUUGAAAGGUGCAAUUGCAUCACUACCAGAUGGACCUGCGUUGUAUUAGCUAGUAGGUGAGGUAACGGCUCACCUAGGCGACGAUACAUAGCCGACCUGAGAGGGUGAUCGGCCACACUGGGACUGAGACACGGCCCAGACUCCUACGGGAGGCAGCAGUAGGGAAUCUUCGGCAAUGGACGAAAGUCUGACCGAGCAACGCCGCGUGAGUGAAGAAGGUUUUCGGAUCGUAAAGCUCUGUUGUAAGAGAAGAACGGGUGUGAGAGUGGAAAGUUCACACUGUGACGGUAUCUUACCAGAAAGGGACGGCUAACUACGUG
rnacentral:rRNA from 1 species